rnacentral:rRNA from 1 species
AGAGUUUGAUCCUGGCUCAGGAUGAACGCUAGCUACAGGCUUAACACAUGCAAGUCGAGGGGCAUCAGGAAGAAAGCUUGCUUUCUUUGCUGGCGACCGGCGCACGGGUGAGUAACACGUAUCCAACCUGCCGAUGACUCGGGGAUAGCCUUUCGAAAGAAAGAUUAAUACCCGAUGGUAUAUCUGAAAGGCAUCUUUCAGCUAUUAAAGAAUUUCGGUCAUUGAUGGGGAUGCGUUCCAUUAGGUUGUUGGCGGGGUAACGGCCCACCAAGCCAUCGAUGGAUAGGGGUUCUGAGAGGAAGGUCCCCCACAUUGGAACUGAGACACGGUCCAAACUCCUACGGGAGGCAGCAGUGAGGAAUAUUGGUCAAUGGACGAGAGUCUGAACCAGCCAAGUAGCGUGAAGGAUGACUGCCCUAUGGGUUGUAAACUUCUUUUAUACGGGAAUAAAGUUAGGCACGUGUGCCUUUUUGUAUGUACCGUAUGAAUAAGGAUCGGCUAACUCCGUGCCAGCAGCCGCGGUAAUACGGAGGAUCCGAGCGUUAUCCGGAUUUAUUGGGUUUAAAGGGAGCGUAGGCGGAUGCUUAAGUCAGUUGUGAAAGUUUGCGGCUCAACCGUAAAAUUGCAGUUGAUACUGGGUGUCUUGAGUACAGUAGAGGCAGGCGGAAUUCGUGGUGUAGCGGUGAAAUGCUUAGAUAUCACGAAGAACUCCGAUUGCGAAGGCAGCUUGCUGGACUGUAACUGACGCUGAUGCUCGAAAGUGUGGGUAUCAAACAGGAUUAGAUACCCUGGUAGUCCACACAGUAAACGAUGAAUACUCGCUGUUUGCGAUAUACAGUAAGCGGCCAA